GGAAGGGUGGCUGAGAGGCCCAAGGCGCUCCCUUGCUAAGGGAGAGACGCGCAAGCGUCCGCGGGUUCGAAUCCCGCCUCUUCCG
rnacentral:tRNA from 1 species